UGGGGAAUAUUGCACAAUGGGCGCAAGCCUGAUGCAGCCAUGCCGCGUGUAUGAAGAAGGCCUUCGGGUUGUAAAGUACUUUCAGCGGGGAGGAAGGCGAUAAGGUUAAUAACCUUGUCGAUUGACGUUACCCGCAGAAGAAGCACCGGCUAACUCCGUGCCAGCAGCCGCGGUAAUACGGAGGGUGCAAGCGUUAAUCGGAAUUACUGGGCGUAAAGCGCACGCAGGCGGUUUGUCAAGUCGGAUGUGAAAUCCCCGGGCUCAACCUGGGAACUGCAUUCGAAACUGGCAGGCUAGAGUCUUGUAGAGGGGGGUAGAAUUCCAGGUGUAGCGGUGAAAUGCGUAGAGAUCUGGAGGAAUACCGGUGGCGAAGGCGGCCCCCUGGACAAAGACUGACGCUCAGGUGCGAAAGCGUGGGGAGCAAACA
rnacentral:rRNA from 1 species